CACUUUUAAUCCUUGGUGGAAUCAACUUCUUGGGAAUGAUGUUUACUUUCUUGAUACCUGAGUCGAAGGGAAAAUCACUCGAGGAAAUUUCUGGUGAAGCUGAGGAAGAAAAUCAAAGUUACCAAACUACAAGAGUCUAGGCAAACUGUUCCAGGCUUCCAGCUUAAUUAGGCUUUCUUCUAGAUUAUGCUAAGACAUUACAUAAAAAGAAAGCCUAAUUAAGCUGGAAGCCUGGAACAGUUUGCCUAGACUCUUGUAGUUUGGUAACUUUGAUUUUCUUCCUCAGCUUCACCAGAAAUUUCCUCGAGUGAUUUUCCCUUCGACUCAGGUAUCAAGAAAGUAAACAUCAUUCCCAAGAAGUUGAUUCCACCAAGGAUUAAAAGUGUAUUCAUCACACCAAUGCCAUCAGCAGCAUAAAAGAAGCCGAAUGCACCUACCAUUGCCCCUACCUUGCCAGAUGCAGCUGAUAUACCAUGACAUGUAGACCUUAAACUUGCCGGGAAGAUCUCGGCAGGCACGACAAAUGUGGUGGCAUUUGGACCGAAGUUGGAGAAGAAGAAGGUUAACGAAUACGCAGAUUCAGGCAUCUUCAUGCGCCAGUAAUAAGUAAGUGCUGCUGGGAUUGCACCAAACAUCAAAACAAUUCUCCAAAAAUAGUCAGUUUCUGGUACAGUAGAGCCAACUGGAUCAUUUUCAUAAGGUUGGGCAGGAUACUUGGCCAUGAAUGCUGCAGAAAUUAUAAUAGCAACCAUCCCACCAGCCAAGAUCCCAAAACCUUGCAUGGCAAAAA
rnacentral:misc_RNA from 1 species